GAUGAACGCUGACAGAAUGCUUAACACAUGCAAGUCUACUUGAACUUCGGUUUGGGUGGCGGACGGGUGAGUAACGCGUAAAGAACUUGCCUCACAGUUAGGGACAACAUUUGGAAACGAAUGCUAAUACCUGAUAUUAUGAUUUUAGGGCAUCCUAGGAUUAUGAAAGCUAUAUGUGCUGUGAGAGAGCUUUGCGUCCCAUUAGCUAGUUGGAGAGGUAACGGCUCACCAAGGCGAUGAUGGGUAGCCGGCCUGAGAGGGUGAACGGCCACAAGGGGACUGAGACACGGCCCGUACGCCUACGGGAGGCAGCAGUGGGGAAUAUUGGACAAUGGACCAAAAGUCUGAUCCAGCAAUUCUGUGUGCACGAUGACGUUUUUCGGAAUGUAAAGUGCUUUCAGUUGGGAAGAAAAAAAUGACGGUACCAACAGAAGAAGUGACGGCUAAAUACGUG
rnacentral:rRNA from 1 species